UUGGAAAUGGGAAUUAGAGAUGAGCAGCACCAGGAGAAACAUCAGGCAGGAUUCCUCUGAACCAGUCACCCUUAAUCUCUUUUACAGGCUGCCUGGAAGACCUUGAUUCCCCUCUGGGCAGGGAUGAGUUUUGCAAAUUCUAUAUUUGUGGAGCAGGGUUUGUCCCCAGGGAAUAAAUGCCAUAAUCCUCUGCGCUGAGCUCCA
rnacentral:lncRNA from 1 species